CUCCUACGGGGGGCAGCAGUGAGGAAUAUUGGUCAAUGGGCGAGAGCCUGAACCAGCCAAGUCGCGUGAGGGAAGACGGCCCUACGGGUUGUAAACCUCUUUUGUCAGGGAGCAAGAACGGAUACGUGUAUCCGAGCGAGAGUACCUGAAGAAAAAGCAUCGGCUAACUCCGUGCCAGCAGCCGCGGUAAUACGGAGGAUGCGAGCGUUAUCCGGAUUUAUUGGGUUUAAAGGGUGCGUAGGCGGUUUUAUAAGUUAGAGGUGAAAAUUCGGGGCUCAACUCCGGACGUGCCUCUAAUACUGUAU
rnacentral:rRNA from 1 species